CCGAGUUCAUGCCCUUACGGGUAGAUCUCCCACCCUUUGUAUACUAUACCUUUGUUGCUUUGGCGGGCCGCCUAGCUACUGGCUUCGGCUGGUAAGUGCCCGCCAGAGGACCCAAAACCCUGAAUUAUUAGUGUCGUCUGAGUAAAAAAGUUAAUAUUUA
rnacentral:misc_RNA from 1 species